rnacentral:rRNA from 1 species
GAAAGGCCAAUCAAACCGGGAGAUAGCUGGUUCUCCCCGAAAGCUAUUUAGGUAGCGCCUCGUGAAUUCAUCUCCGGGGGUAGAGCACUGUUUCGGCAAGGGGGUCAUCCCGACUUACCAACCCGAUGCAAACUGCGAAUACCGGAGAAUGUUAUCACGGGAGACACACGGCGGGUGCUAACGUCCGUCGUGAAGAGGGAAACAACCCAGACCGCCAGCUAAGGUCCCAAAGUCAUGGUUAAG